rnacentral:rRNA from 1 species
UACGGAGGAUGCGAGCGUUAUCCGGAUUUAUUGGGUUUAAAGGGUGCGCAGGCGGAUUUUUAAGUCAGCGGUCAAAUCGUGGGGCUCAACCCCGGCCUGCCGUUGAAACUGGCGGCCUCGAGUGGGCGAGAAGUAUGCGGAAUGCGUGGUGUAGCGGUGAAAUGCUUAGAGAUCAUACAGAACACCGAUUGCGAAGGCAGCUUACCAAGCUACUUCUGACGUUGAGGCACGAAAGCGUGGGGAGCAAACAGG